rnacentral:rRNA from 1 species
UACGAAGGGGGCUAGCGUUGCUCGGAAUGACUGGGCGUAAAGGGCGCGUAGGCGGAUUGUACAGUCAGGCGUGAAAUUCCCGGGCUCAACCUGGGGGCUGCGCUUGAGACGUGCGAUCUUGAGUGGGGAAGAGGGUCGUGGAAUUCCCAGUGUAGAGGUGAAAUUCGUAGAUAUUGGGAAGAACACCGGUGGCGAAGGCGGCGACCUGGUCCUUGACUGACGCUGAGGCGCGAAAGCGUGGGGAGCGAACCGG